GAUGAAGAACGUAGCGAAAUGCGAUAAGUAAUGUGAAUUGCAGAAUUCAGUGAAUCAUCGAAUCUUUGAACGCACAUUGCGCCCCCUGGUAUUCCGGGGGGCAUGCCUGUUCGAGCGUCAUUUCACCACUCAAGCCUCGCUUGGUAUUGGGCAACGCGGUCCGCCGCGUGCCUCAAAUCGACCGGCUGGGUCUUCUGUCCCCUAAGCGUUGUGGAAACUUUCGCUAAAGGGUGUUCGGGAGGCUACGCCGUAAAACAACCCCAUUUCUAAGGUUGACCUCGGAUCAGGUAGGGAUACCCGCUGAACUUAAGCAUAUCAAUAAGCGGAGGU
rnacentral:misc_RNA from 1 species